rnacentral:rRNA from 1 species
UACAGAGGUCCCAAGCGUUGUUCGGAUUCAUUGGGCGUAAAGGGUGUGUAGGUGGCGCCGUAAGUCAGGGGUGAAAUCCCGGAGCUCAACUCCGGAACUGCCCUUGAAACUGCAGUGCUAGAAUCUUGGAGAGGCGAGUGGAAUUCCGAGUGUAGAGGUGAAAUUCGUAGAUAUUCGGAAGAACACCAGUGGCGAAGGCGACUCGCUGGACAAGUAUUGACGCUGAGGUGCGAAAGCGUGGGGAGCAAACAGG